rnacentral:rRNA from 1 species
GCUCAGAACUUAAGGAAUUGACGGGGCCCGCACAAGCGAGGAGCAUGUGGUUUAAUUCGAUGAUACGCGAGGAACCUUACCUGGGCUCGAACGUAAGAUGACUGUAGGUGAAAGCUUACAUCUCUUCGGAGCAUUUUACGAGGUGCUGCAUGGUUGUCGUCAGCUCGUGCCGUGAGGUGUCGGGUUAAGUCCCAUAACGAGCGCAACCCCUACCUUUAGUUGCCAUCAGGUAAUGCUGGGGACUCUAAAGGAACUGCCUACGCAAGUAGUGAGGAAGGCGGGGAUGACGUCAAAUCAGCACGGCCCUUACGUCCAGGGCUACACACGUGCUACAAUGGCCGAUACAGAGGGCAGCUACCUGGUGACAGGAUGCAAAUCUCCAAAGUCGGUCUCAGUUCGGAUCGGAGUCUGCAACCCGACUCCGUGAAGUUGGAUUCGCUAGUAAUCGCGCAUCAGCCAUGGCGCGGUGAAUACGUUCCCGGGCCUU